CACGUAGGGCGCAAGCGUUGUCCGGAAUUAUUGGGCGUAAAGAGCUCGUAGGCGGUCUGUUGCGUCCGCUGUGAAAACUCGGGGCUUAACCCCGAGCCUGCAGUGGAUACGGGCAGACUAGAGGUAGGUAGGGGAGAAUGGAAUUCCCGGUGUAGCGGUGAAAUGCGUAGAUAUCUGGAGGAACACCGGUGGCGAAGGCGGCAUCCUGGACCGGCAUUGACGCUGAGGCGCGAAAGCUAGGGGAGCAAACGGG
rnacentral:rRNA from 1 species